rnacentral:rRNA from 2 species
AAAUUGAAGAGUUUGAUCAUGGCUCAGAUUGAACGCUGGCGGCAGGCCUAACACAUGCAAGUCGAACGGUAACAGGAAGCAGCUUGCUGCUUUGCUGACGAGUGGCGGACGGGUGAGUAAUGUCUGGGAAACUGCCUGAUGGAGGGGGAUAACUACUGGAAACGGUGGCUAAUACCGCAUAACGUCGCAAGACCAAAGAGGGGGACCUUCGGGCCUCUUGCCAUCAGAUGUGCCCAGAUGGGAUUAGCUUGUUGGUGGGGUAACGGC